rnacentral:rRNA from 1 species
UACGGAGGAUCCAAGCGUUAUCCGGAAUUACUGGGCGUAAAGAGUUGCGUAGGUGGCAUAGCAAGCAGAUAGUGAAAGAUCACGGCUCAACCGUGGGUACAUUACCUGAACUGCUAAGCUUGAGCACGAGAGAGGUACCUGGAAUUCCUAGUGUAGGAGUGAAAUCCGUAGAUAUUAGGAGGAACACCGAUGGCGUAGGCAGGGUACUGGCUCGUUGCUGACACUAAGGCACGAAAGCGUGGGGAGCGAACGGG